UACGUAGGGCGCGAGCGUUGUCCGGAUUUAUUGGGCGUAAAGAGCUCGUAGGCGGCUUGUCGCGUCGUCCGUGAAAACCCGGGGGCUCAACCUCGGGUCUGCAGUCGAUACGAGCAAACUAGAGUGUUGCAGGGGAGACUGGAAUUCCUGGUGUAGCGGUGAAAUGCGCAGAUAUCUGGAGGAACACCGGUGGCGAAGGCGGCAUCCUGGACCAAUAUUGACGCUGAGGAGCGAAAGCCAGGGGA
rnacentral:rRNA from 1 species